AUACGUAGGGGGCGAGCGUUGUCCGGAAUGAUUGGGCGUAAAGGGCGCGUAGGCGGCGCGGUAAGUCUGGAGUGAAAGUCCUGCUUUCAAGGUGGGAAUUGCUUUGGAUACUGCCGCGCUUGAGUGCAGGAGAGGUUAUCGGAAUUCCCGGUGUAGCGGUGAAAUGCGUAGAGAUCGGGAGGAACACCAGUGGCGAAGGCGGGUAACUGGACUGCAACUGACGCUGAGGCGCGAAAGUGUGGGGAGCAAACAGGAUUAGAUACCCUGGUAGUCCACACUGUAAACGAUGAAUACUAGGUGUAGGGGGUAUCGACUCCCUCUGUGCCGCAGUCAACACAAUAAGUAUUCCGCCUGGGGAGUACGGCCGCAAGGUUGAAACUCAAAUGAAUUGGCGGGG
rnacentral:rRNA from 1 species